UAAGUAAAAACAAUCAAUAAGAAUAUAUAUAAAAAGUCCCUAUAUAAUAAAAAUACAAAUCACUAUAUAUUAAUAAUAACGAAUACAAAACUUUAGCAAUAAGAUUAUAGAGUUAUGACUUGGGAAAUACCAGUCUUCGUCCACAAUAUAUAACAUUAAAUAUAAAUCAUUUAUUUAAAACUUAUAUGAUAAUAUUUAAAUUAUAUAUUUAAAAAAUAAAAAAACUUAUCCAUCAAUGUGCGGGUCAAACUCUAGUUUUGGAUUAUUAGACAGCUUUCUUGUUGUCUCUGCUAGAUCUCUGGUUAGCAAAUGAUUAAUCAAAAUGGUGGGAUCAGGAUCAUCUAUAUUUGUAUAGAAUGAUCAUUGACUUCCAUCCACUUGUCUGAGACCAAAAAAUAAAAACAACACAAGCUUUACCCGGACCUUACUGUGGAUUCUUUCAUCAAUGCAACUUCGAGAACAUAAAAUUUACAGGCAAUUCCAAACAUGGUGGAUCCUCAGGAUGCAGAGUUUAUUGAAAUUAUACCAUUAAGUCGAGUUCAGACAGCUGACCAGGAUGGAUGGCAUUUCACUAAUAAUGGGAGAUACACUGUUAAAUCUGGAUAUCAAGUGGAAUGUGUAUACCAGGAUGUAUAGCGGUUAAAGAAAAAUUGAGAGCAAGAGGAAUUCGAGGAGAUACAACUUGUGUAUGAUGUGAAGCACCUGAAGGAUCUAAAAAUCAUGUGUUUUUUGAAUGUCCACCGGCGGUUCAGGUUUGGGCGUUCUCAGGGAUCCCAUCGAAUCCAAUUAUUUUUCUUACUCAUUUUUUCUUCACAAAUAUGAAUCAUUUAUUUUGGAGAGUUUUCCCACAUAUGGAAGAUCAUCAAUAUGCAUGGAUUUUAUGUACAUAUGGAAAGGAAAAAAAUAAUAAUUUUUUUAGCAAUUUGGAUAUUGAUCCCAAAAAUAACCUAAACUCGGCAGAAACAGAAUCACUACUUUGGGCUGAGGCACAAGCCUCACUUACACAAGGGACUGAUCAACAUAGGCCGGUAGAGGAGUGAAUAUUACCGAGCAUACAAGGUAGAUGGUGUUUUACGGAUGGAUCGUGUAAAGCUCAAGAAAAUUAUUCUGGUCAAGGGUGGUAUAGUACAUUACCAGUUUUGAUGGUUUAAUGGGGGCGAGGAAUGCACGAGCGAGUUAAUCACCACUUCACUCAGAAGUGGAAGCUCUUAUUUGGGCAAUAAAAUGUAUGAAGAAUUUAAGACAGUUUAAUGUUACAUUUGCAACGAAUUAUUCUCAAUUAGUGAAAGAUGGUUUCGGAUAUAGAAGAGUGGCCGGAAUUUGCAAGUUAUUUGGAAGACAUCAAGAUACUGAAAGAAAAUUUUCACAUCUCAUAGAUCAUUUAUAUACCACGGACACAUAAUUUACGAGUGGGGAGCCUUGCACGUAGUGUAAGAAAACAAUCGUCUUUUGUUGUCCACGUGAAUGCGGAGUUGCCAGUUUGGUUUGCAGAAUCUAUAUGAAUUUGUUUUCAUGUUGAUGACAGAAAAAGAGUCUUCUGGUUAUAGUAGGAUUUAGGAAGAAAAGUUGUUUCAUUGAUUAUCACAAACUGUUUGUUCACAAAAGUUAUUAAUAGGAGACUAGACAUUAUACUAAAGCUUCAAUAUGAAGUUGUAGAACAGCCAACCAAAGAGGGUUUCUUCUGGCUUCUGGGCUCUACUUGAACAUGUUUGGUAGAGGUCUGACGGCCAUGAUGGCUUCCACCAUUUCAUCAGUGACAGCAGCUCGAGCCUUGCGGUGUCUCUCCACUAUUUCUGUCAAAACAUCAGUGAGUCGUUGCUUUACCGCUCCAGAUUGCAUUCUUCCUUCUCCAUAUUCCUGAAACACAUGAAGACAGAUGAAUAUUCUUUAUUCUAUGUAAUGAAUAAUGAUCUAAUACCAAGAGCUAGAGAGGCAAGUGUAACAUAACUUACCUUCUUUAUGUGCUCAAGUUCAGUGUCAUCAUCUAGGAAGAAACUCAGGUACUUGAAAGGUAUGUCUACCUGUGAUAUAGUAAAAGAAGAAUACAAGAGAUAAAGACUCAAGUUUGCUAUAGCACCAAAACUGAUAAUAUCAAGUAUCAAGAACAAUCUUGCAAGAAUCAGUUACUUAAAUAGUCAAUUAUACUUGACGAAAAAUCUUUCUAAAUUUCCAAUGAGAGGAACCAAUGCACAUUUAGUAGUAUAUAUCUAACUAAAUAAUAUCCUUUCCUAACUUUCAGUUGCCCUAUAACUACAUGACUAACACUGGAACACAACUCAUGUGAGUUGACACUAUAAAGUGUAAAAGAAGAGAAUUUGGUACCUCCAGAUCUGCUCCAGCAUUUUCUUGAGAUGGCUUGAUUCGUUUAUCUGUUUGUGUUUCUUGUUCUGCUUAUGUAAUGGACAUGAUGAUCUGCCUGAUGAUCCUGAGGAAGGUGAAGCGUUUAGUGUAGUAUCUUUUUUGUUGUUGUUGUUUUCUCUGUAUGAUUUAGAAAACAUGGCCACGGUUUUUAAGUGGAAGAUCGUGUGGAAUUGUUUGAUGGUUCAUUGGUCUUUGAUUCUCUAUAAAGUUUUGAGCUUUACUUGUCUUGUCUUCUUUUUUUUCUUACUGCCUUCAAACUGAUGAUGAUGAUGAUCUUUGUUUCUUUAUAAAGAAUGUAAGAUUUACAAAUACAUGAUCAUAUGGAAUUGCUUGUUGGCUAAUUGCUCUUUGUUUCUUUAUAAAAUAAAAAAAAAUCUGAGUUUUGGUUUUGAUUAGCAUUGCAGAUUGGGUUUCAAUCUUUUCAAUCCUUUGUUAAUACAGAGGCAACAAAGAUGGAUUGACCAGGCUUUGAGCUUGGAAGUGACCAAGCUUCAUUCUCUUCACAGCAAACAAACGAACAGAAGCAGCUAUCUAUGCAUGGAAAGAGAGGAUUAUAGAACAAGCAAGCAGUAGUAAGUGGUCAUUAGUUAGAGAUUCAUUGUCUGAGAUUAGUUUCAUUGAAUCGCUUAUAAACAGGCUGGUCAGAUUAAAUCCAAAUACUCUAAUCUCCUUCAAUGAAAUUGUUUUAUAAUUUUUUUUUAAAAACCCAUAAUCAAAAGACUUGUAAUAAACCACCUAAAUGUUCAAAUCUUUUUCUAAGUUUCUUAACUCA